rnacentral:rRNA from 1 species
GAUGAACGCUGGCGGCGUGCCUAAUACAUGCAAGUCGAGCGAACAGACGAGGAGCUUGCUCCUCUGACGUUAGCGGCGGACGGGUGAGUAACACGUGGAUAACCUACCUAUAAGACUGGGAUAACUUCGGGACACCGGAGCUAAUACCGGAUAAUAUCUUGAACCGCAUGGUUCAAUAGUGAAAGACGGUUUUGCUGUCACUUAUAGAUGGAUCCGCGCCGCAUUAGCUAGUUGGUAAGGUAACGGCUUACCAAGGCAACGAUGCGUAGCCGACCUGAGAGGGUGAUCGGCCACACUGGAACUGAGACACGGUCCAGACUCCUACGGGAGGCAGCAGUAGGGAAUCUUCCGCAAUGGGCGAAAGCCUGACGGAGCAACGCCGCGUGAGUGAUGAAGGUCUUCGGAUCGUAAAACUCUGUUAUUAGGGAAGAACAAAUGUGUAAGUAACUAUGCACGUCUUGACGGUACCUAAUCAGAAAGCCACGGCUAACUACGUG